rnacentral:rRNA from 1 species
GAUGAACGCUGGCGGCGUGCCUAACACAUGCAGGUCGAACGGAGUCCAGCCUUUAAGACCUUCGGGUCAAAGAGGGGAAGACUGAGUGGCGGACGGGUGAGUAACACGUGGGCAACCUGGCUCAUAGAGGGGGAUAACAGAGAGAAAUUUCUGCUAAUACCGCAUAAGCACACACUGCCGCAUGGCAGAGGGUGAAAAGAGAAUCGCUAUGAGAUGGACCCGCGUCUGAUUAGCCAGUUGGCAGGGUAAGAGCCUACCAAAGCGACGAUCAGUAGCCGAUCUGAGAGGAUGAACGGCCACAUUGGGACUGAGACACGGCCCAAACUCCUACGGGAGGCAGCAGUGGGGGAUAUUGCACAAUGGGGGGAACCCUGAUGCAGCGACGCCGCGUGAGUGAAGAAGUAUUUCGGUAUGUAAAGCUCUAUCAGCAGGGAAGAUAAUGACAGUACCUGAAUAAGAAGCCCCGGCUAACUACGUG